rnacentral:rRNA from 1 species
CGGGAGGCAGCAGUAGGGAAUUUUUSGGCAAUGGAGGAAACUCUGACCGAGCAACGCCGCGUGAACGAUGAAGUAUUUCGGUACGUAAAGUUCUUUUAUUAGGGAAGAAUAAAUGAUGGAAAAAUCAUUCUGACGGUACCUAAUGAAUAAGCCCCGGCUAACUAUGUGCCAGCAGCCGCGGUAAUACAUAGGGGGCAAGCGUUAUCCGGAAUUAUUGGGCGUAAAGGGCGCGUAGGCGGUUAAAUAAGUUUAUGGUCUAAGUGCAAUGCUUAACAUUGUGAUGCUAUAAAAACUGUUUAGCUAGAGUAAGAUAGAGGCAAGUGGAAUUCCAUGUGUAGUGGUAAAAUGCGUAAAUAUAUGGAGGAACACCAGUAGCGAAGGCGGCUUGCUGGGUCUUUACUGACGCUGAGGCACGAAAGCGUGGGGAGCAAACAGGAUUAGAUACCCUGGUAGUCCACGCCGUAAACGAUGAGUACUAAAUGUUGGGUAAAACCAGUGUUGAAGUUAACACAUUAAGUACUCCGCCUGAGUAGUACGUACGCAAGUAUGAAACUUAAAGGAAUUGACGGGACUCCGCACAAGCGGUGGAUCAUGUUGUUUAAUUCGAAGGUACCCGAAAAACCUCACCAGGUCUUGACAUGCUUCUGCAAAGCUGUAGAAACACAGUGGAGGUUAUCAGUUGCACAGGUGGUGCAUGGUUGUCGUCAGCUCGUGUCGUGAGAUGUUGGGUUAAGUCCCGCC